rnacentral:sRNA from 2 species
ACAGUGUAAAGUAACUAAUUUGCUAAAUACUAUAUGGAAUCAGAACUA